UACGUAGGGGGCAAGCGUUAUCCGGAUUUACUGGGUGUAAAGGGAGCGUAGACGGCAGAGCAAGUCUGAAGUGAAAGCCCGCGGCCCAACUGCGGGACUGCUUUGGAAACUGCCCGGCUAGAGUGCUGGAGAGGUAAGCGGAAUUCCUAAUGUAGCGGUGAAAUGCGUAGAUAUUAGGAGGAACACCAGUGGCGAAGGCGGCUUACUGGACAGUAACUGACGUUGAGGCUCGAAAGCGUGGGGAGCAAACAGG
rnacentral:rRNA from 1 species